rnacentral:rRNA from 1 species
UACGUAGGGUGCGAGCGUUGUCCGGAAUUACUGGGCGUAAAGAGCUCGUAGGUGGUUUGUCGCGUUGUUCGUGAAAACUCACAGCUUAACUGUGGGCGUGCGGGCGAUACGGGCAGACUGGAGUACUGCAGGGGAGACUGGAAUUCCUGGUGUAGCGGUGGAAGUGCGCAGAUAUCAGGAGGAACACCGGUGGCGAAGGCGGGUCUCUGGGCAGUAACUGACGCUGGAGGAGCGAAAGCGUGGGGAGCGAACAGGAUUAGACUACCCU